rnacentral:rRNA from 1 species
AGAGUUUGAUCCUGGCUCAGGAUGAACGCUAGCUACAGGCUUAACACAUGCAAGUCGAGGGGAAACGGCAUUAAGUGCUUGCACUUUUUGGACGUCGACCGGCGCACGGGUGAGUAACGCGUAUCCAACCUGCCCCUUACCAGGGAAUAACCCGUUGAAAGACGGACUAAUGCCCUAUGCAGUCCUUUGACGGCAUCAGAUUAGGACUAAAGAUUCAUCGGUAUGGGAUGGGGAUGCGUCUGAUUAGCUUGUUGGCGGGGUAACGGCCCACCAAGGCAUCGAUCAGUAGGGGUUCUGAGAGGAAGGUCCCCCACAUAGGAACUGAGACACGGUCCUAACUCCUACGGGAGGCAGCAGUGAGGAAUAUUGGUCAAUGGGCGUAAGCCUGAACCAGCCAAGUAGCGUGCAGGACGACGGCCCUAUGGGUUGUAAACUGCUUUUAUGCGGGGAUAAAGUCACCCACGUGUGGGUGUUUGCAGGUACCGCAUGAAUAAGGACCGGCUAAUUCCGUGCCAGCAGCCGCGGUAAUACGGAAGGUCCGGGCGUUAUCCGGAUUUAUUGGGUUUAAAGGGAGUGUAGGCGGCCUGUUAAGCGUGUUGUGAAAUGUAGAUGCUCAACAUCUGAACUGCAGCGCGAACUGGCUGGCUUGAGUACACGCAACGUGGGCGGAAUUCAUGGUGUAGCGGUGAAAUGCUUAGAUAUCAUGAGGAACUCCAAUUGCGAAGGCAGCUCACGGGAGUGUCACUGACGCUUAAGCUCGAAGGUGCGGGUAUCAAACAGGAUUAGAUACCCUGGUAGUCCGCACGGUAAACGAUGGAUGCCCGCUGUUGGCGCUUUGCGUCAGCGGCUAAGCGAAAGCAUUAAGCAUCCCACCUGGGGAGUACGCCGGCAACGGUGAAAC